UGGGGUGUAGCUUGGGGGUAGAGUGAGUGCUUAGCAUGCACGAGGUCCUGGGUUCAAUCCCUAAUACCUCUA
rnacentral:tRNA from 1 species